UACGUAGGGUGCAAGCGUUGUCCGGAAUUAUUGGGCGUAAAGAGCUCGUAGGCGGUCUGUCGCGUCUGCUGUGAAAACCUGGGGCUUAACCCCGGGCCUGCAGUGGGUACGGGCAGACUAGAGUGCGGUAGGGGAGACUGGAAUUCCUGGUGUAGCGGUGAAAUGCGCAGAUAUCAGGAGGAACACCGGUGGCGAAGGCGGGUCUCUGGGCCGAUAUCGACGCUGAGGAGCGAAAGCGUGGGGAGCGAACAGG
rnacentral:rRNA from 1 species